rnacentral:rRNA from 1 species
AUGAACGCUGGCGGCGUGCCUAAUACAUUCCAGUCGAGCGAACAGACGAGGAGCUUGCUCCUCUGACGUUAGCGGCGGACGGGUGAGUAACACGUGGAUAACCUACCUAUAAGACUGGGAUAACUUCGGGAAACCGGAGCUAAUACCGGAUAAUAUAUUGAACCGCAUGGUUCAAUAGUGAAAGACGGUUUUGCUGUCACUUAUAGAUGGAUCCGCGCCGCAUUAGCUAGUUGGUAAGGUAACGGCUUACCAAGGCAACGAUGCGUAGCCGACCUGAGAGGGUGAUCGGCCACACUGGAACUGAGACACGGUCCAGACUCCUACGGGAGGCAGCAGUAGGGAAUCUUCCGCAAUGGGCGAAAGCCUGACGGAGCAACGCCGCGUGAGUGAUGAAGGUCUUCGGAUCGUAAAACUCUGUUAUUAGGGAAGAACAAAUGUGUAAGUAACUAUGCACGUCUUGACGGUACCUAAUCAGAAAGCCACGGCUAACUACGUG